GAGUUUGAUCCUGGCUCAGGACGAACGCUGGCGGCGUGCCUAAUACAUGCAAGUCGAACGAACUCUGGUAUUGAUUGGUGCUUGCAUCAUGAUUUACAUUUGAGUGAGUGGCGAACUGGUGAGUAACACGUGGGAAACCUGCCCAGAAGCGGGGGAUAACACCUGGAAACAGAUGCUAAUACCGCAUAACAACUUGGACCGCAUGGUCCGAGCUUGAAAGAUGGCUUCGGCUAUCACUUUUGGAUGGUCCCGCGGCGUAUUAGCUAGAUGGUGGGGUAACGGCUCACCAUGGCAAUGAUACGUAGCCGACCUGAGAGGGUAAUCGGCCACAUUGGGACUGAGACACGGCCCGAACUCCUACGGGAGGCAGCAGUAGGGAAUCUUCCACAAUGGACGAGAGUCUGAUGGAGCAACGCCGCGUGAGUGAAGAAGGGUUUCGGCUCGUAAAACUCUGUUGUUAAAGAAGAACAUAUCUGAGAGUAACUGUUCAGGUAUUGACGGUAUUUAACCAGAAAGCCACGGCUAACUACGUGCCAGCAGCCGCGGUAAUACGUAGGUGGCAAGCGUUGUCCGGAUUUAUUGGGCGUAAAGCGAGCGCAGGCGGUUUUUUAAGUCUGAUGUGAAAGCCUUCGGCUCAACCGAAGAAGUGCAUCGGAAACUGGGAAACUUGAGUGCAGAAGAGGACAGUGGAACUCCAUGUGUAGCGGUGAAAUGCGUAGAUAUAUGGAAGAACACCAGUGGCGAAGGCGGCUGUCUGGUCUGUAACUGACGCUGAGGCUCGAAAGUAUGGGUAGCAAACAGGAUUAGAUACCCUGGUAGUCCAUACCGUAAACGAUGAAUGCUAAGUGUUGGAGGGUUUCCGCCCUUCAGUGCUGCAGCUAACGCAUUAAGCAUUCCGCCUGGGGAGUACGGCCGCAAGGCUGAAACUCAAAGGAAUUGACGGGGGCCCGCACAAGCGGUGGAGCAUGUGGUUUAAUUCGAAGCUACGCGAAGAACCUUACCAGGUCUUGACAUACUAUGCAAAUCUAAGAGAUUAGACGUUCCCUUCGGGGACAUGGAUACAGGUGGUGCAUGGUUGUCGUCAGCUCGUGUCGUGAGAUGUUGGGUUAAGUCCCGCAACGAGCGCAACCCUUAUUAUCAGUUGCCAGCAUUAAGUUGGGCACUCUGGUGAGACUGCCGGUGACAAACCGGAGGAAGGUGGGGAUGACGUCAAAUCAUCAUGCCCCUUAUGACCUGGGCUACACACGUGCUACAAUGGAUGGUACAACGAGUUGCGAACUCGCGAGAGUAAGCUAAUCUCUUAAAGCCAUUCUCAGUUCGGAUUGUAGGCUGCAACUCGCCUACAUGAAGUCGGAAUCGCUAGUAAUCGCGGAUCAGCAUGCCGCGGUGAAUACGUUCCCGGGCCUUGUACACACCGCCCGUCACACCGUGAGAGUUUGUAACACCCAAAGUCGGUGGGGUAACCUUUUAGGAACCAGCCGCCUAAGGUGGGACAGAUGAUUAGGGUG
rnacentral:rRNA from 1 species